GAUGAACGCUGGCGGCGUGCCUAAUACAUGCAAGUCGAGCGAACGGACGAGAAGCUUGCUUCUCUGAUGUUAGCGGCGGACGGGUGAGUAACACGUGGAUAACCUACCUAUAAGACUGGGAUAACUUCGGGAAACCGUAGCUAAUACCGGAUAAUAUUUUGAACCGCAUGGUUCAAAAGUGAGAGACGGUCUUGCUGUCACUUAUAGAUGGAUCUGGGCUGCAUUAGCUAGUUGGUAAGGUAACGGCUUACCAAGGCAACGAUGCAUAGCCGACCUGAGAGGGUGAUCGGCCACACGGGAACUGAGACACGGUCCAGACUCCUACGGGAGGCAGCAGUAGGGAAUCUUCCGCAAUGGGCGAAAGCCUGACGGAGCAACGCCGCGUGAGUGAUGAAGGUCUUCGGAUCGUAAAACUCUGUUAUUAGGGAAGAACAUAUGUGUAAGUAACUGUGCACAUCUUGACGGUACCUAAUCAGAAAGCCACGGCUAACUACGUG
rnacentral:rRNA from 1 species